GACGAACGCUGGCGGCGUGCUUAACACAUGCAAGUCGAGCGGUAAGGCCCUUUCGGGGGUACACGAGCGGCGAACGGGUGAGUAACACGUGGGUGACCUGCCCUCAGCUCUGGGAUAAGCCUGGGAAACCGGGUCUAAUACCGGAUAUGACUCCAUGACGCAUGUUGUGGGGUGGAAAGCCUUGUGCGGCUGAGGAUGGGCCCGCGGCCUAUCAGCUUGUUGGCGGGGUGAUGGCCUACCAAGGCGACGACGGGUAGCCGGCCUGAGAGGGCGACCGGCCACACUGGGACUGAGACACGGCCCAGACUCCUACGGGAGGCAGCAGUGGGGAAUCUUGCGCAAUGGGCGAAAGCCUGACGCAGCGACGCCGCGUGAGGGAUGACGGCCU
rnacentral:rRNA from 1 species